UUCUUUCUUUGUAUUUGCUUCUGUGCUCUGGGAGAGAUGGUACGUAUUUUAUCAUCAGACAUCAUCUUAAGAAGAAGAGUUUUCCAGGUGCCAACCUCCU